AUCAGUCUAACGAUGUGUGUAGCCCAUCAGCAGUGGAGUCUUUGAGCACGAGUGGAAGGAGACAACCUUUCUAUGUGAACAGAGAUCAUGGAGAGUUGUAAGCUUGGGCCUCCUCCAAUCAAGAAUACUCAGGUCAAUUAUACCCUAUAGAAGAAAAAUAAGAAAAAAAAGAUGAUUUCAUCAAGCAAGUAGCUACUAUCUUCCUGCAAUGAGACUGCACUACUCUCAUCUGUUAUGUAAUUUUGGAAAGAAACCAUUAUUACAAUGGACAUGGUUGGAGAACAGUGACAAAUGCUGCCUUUGCAGCACUCUAACUUACCUGGCGUAGCUGAAAGACAUUGGUGUGUGUGAUGUUGAAGAACAGACUGACAAUGGUGUCAGUUUAUUUAAACGAUAAAUCCCAUUUACAUUAAAAUAGACAUUACAACAUGCCAGUGUAUAUAAUAAAAAUGACAAGAGCCAUUGUAUUCCCA